CGCGGCCUAUCAGCUUGUUGGUGAGGUAACGGCUCACCAAGGCAUCGACGGGUAGCUGGUCUGAGAGGAUGAUCAGCCACACUGGGACUGAGACACGGCCCAGACUCCUACGGGAGGCAGCAGUAGGGAAUCUUGCGCAAUGGGCGAAAGCCUGACGCAGCAACGCCGCGUGGGGGAUGAAUGCCUUCGGGUUGUAAACCCCUUUCAGCAGGGACGAAAUUGACGGUACCUGCAGAAGAAGGUCCGGCCAACUACGUGCCAGCAGCCGCGGUAAUACGUAGGGACCGAGCGUUGUCCGGAAUUAUUGGGCGUAAGGAGCUCGUAGGCGGUUCAGUAAGUCGGGUGUGAAAACUCAAGGCUCAACCUUGAGACGCCACUCGAUACUGCUGUGACUUGAGUCCGGUAGAGGAGUGUGGAAUUCCUGGUGUAGCGGUGAAAUGCGCAGAUAUCAGGAGGAACACCAGCGGCGAAGGCGGCACUCUGGGUCGGUACUGACGCUGAGGAGCGAAAGCAUGGGGAGCAAACAGGAUUAGAUACCCUGGUAGUCCAUGCCGUAAACGUUGGGCACUAGGUAUGGGACCAUAUCAACGGGUUCCGUGCCGUAGCUAACGCAUUAAGUGCCCCGCCUGGGGAGUACGG
rnacentral:rRNA from 1 species